GGUAGGAUGGACGAGUGGUUUAAGUUGGCAGAUUUAAGUCCUGCUACCGUUAUGGUGCGCGGGUUCAAACCCUACUCCUAUCA
rnacentral:tRNA from 1 species